rnacentral:rRNA from 1 species
AGCGAACGCUGGCGGCAGGCCUAACACAUGCAAGUCGAACGGACCUUUCGGGGUUAGUGGCGGACGGGUGAGUAACACGUGGGAACGUGCCUUUAGGUUCGGAAUAGCUCCUGGAAACGGGUGGUAAUGCCGAAUGUGCCCUUAGGGGGAAAGAUUUAUCGCCUUUAGAGCGGCCCGCGUCUGAUUAGCUAGUUGGUGAGGUAAUGGCUCACCAAGGCUACGAUCAGUAGCUGGUCUGAGAGGAUGACCAGCCACAUUGGGACUGAGACACGGAGCAAACUCCUGCGGGAGGCAGCAGUGGGGAAUCUUGCGCAAUGGGCGAAAGGCUGACGCAGCCAUGCCGCGUGGAUGAUGAAGGUCGUAGGAUUGUAAAAUCCUUUCACCGGUGAAGAUAAUGACUGUAGCCGGAGAAGAAGCCCCGGCUAACUUCGUGCCAGCAGCCGCGGUAA